GACGAACGCUGGCGGCGUGCUUAACACAUGCAAGUCGAACGGAAAGGCCCCUUUGGGGGUUCUCGAGUGGCGAACGGGUGAGUAACACGUGAGUAACCUGCCCUUGACUUCGGGAUAACUUCAGGAAACUGGGGCUAAUACCGGAUAGGAAUCCUUGCUGCAUGGUGGGGGUUGGAAAGCUUCGGCGGUUUUGGAUGGACUCGCGGCUUAUCAGCUUGUUGGUGGGGUAGUGGCUUACCAAGGCUUUGACGGGUAGCCGGCCUGAGAGGGCGACCGGCCACAUUGGGACUGAGGUACGGCCCAGACUCCUACGGGAGGCAGCAGUGGGGAAUAUUGCACAAUGGGCGGAAGCCGGAUGCAGCAACGCCGCGGGCGGGAUGACGGCCUUCGGGUUGAAAACCGCUUUCAGCAGGGGCGAAGCUUGUGGUGACGGUACCUGCAGAAGAAGCACCGGCUAACUACGUG
rnacentral:rRNA from 1 species